GACUUUUGCCCUAUGUCCUAGAUAAAGAGAACAACUAAGUUCAUGUACCUGGAGAAUUUCUACUUGGCUGAACAGGACAAAGGGUGGUGCCUAAGAGUGCAGGUGACAUCUGAGUCACGGAGGCACUUCUGUAAGAGAAGACAUGAAUUGCUGCAGGUCAGGCGUAAUUCCCCUGGGACUUGGAGAAGCCAAGCUAGGACCUGGAAACUCUCUCCAUACCGGCCAGCUUCUGUGGUAUAGAAGGUGAAGGUGCCACGCAGUCUGCUGGAGUCACCAACCGGCAACAAUGGCCAAACUGAUGCCCUGUUAACUUUGAAAGAUGAAACACCCCAAAAUCACAGUCAUAAAAAGCCCCUGCCUCUAGAUUCCUGUCUUGAGUCCCUGCCCUCAUUUCCUUCAUGAAGAACUGUAACUUGUAAGCUGAAAUAAAACCCUUUCCUCCCUAAGUUACUUUUGUUCAUGGUAUAUAUCCCACAACACAAAACAAAUUAGAACAGAUUACUUACAAGGGCAUAGGUGACUGGAAAGCAGCUCAGUGCAUCUCAUCCUGGCUUUGGUGACAGACUGAUAAGCUCAGUCAAUCAGAAUGGCUCCUUUCUGCAGCAAUGGCCAUUGCUAAGACCACCAUAAGAAGGCAGCUGGUGAAUCUGUUACGUUGCAGAAGCUUCCUAGCCUUGUCAGUGUUGCUCCUGAGUUUCCUGAGUCUUAGGAGCUCCAGGUGGGAACGCUUGGACUCACAGGAAUUGGCUGCAUAGCCCUGUGUGACCUCCCAUUCCCCUAUUGCCAAAAUUGUGGGAUUCAUAUAGGUCCCAGGGCUGUAACUAUCCAGGAAAUUAGCCCUGACUUUGAAGAGCUGAAGCCUAUGGAACAUAGAGUCAUGUUGAAAUCUGCCUCCAUGCAGACUUCGACAAUAGAAGGAGGAAAUUUUAAGCAACUCCCUCAGUACUUUCCUUUCAGUAUAUGCUUAACAGCACAUAUCCUUUCACCAAAGAGCGCAGAUGGGACAAUGAAGUAUUAAUUAGAUCUUGAAUUUAUGCAAUUAGCUACUGUUACAAUUGUAAAUUCUACAAUGCACCAUUACAAAGAAACUCUAAGCCUAUCUAGUUGCUUCACUUUGGUCAGUCUUUGAGGAUUGUACAAUUGGCAAAGCAGUUCACAGUAACUGAACAACCACUUAAAACAUGACAUGAGUUAAAACUGUGUCUGAGUUCAGGUUCCAGGCAGUAUUUCUCAUUCUGGCUACCAAACAAAAUGUGAAUGAAGAUACAGAUCUCAUCAUUACUGGCAGGAAACAUUGUUUCUGAAUGGGUAAGGUCUUAUUCUAUGUUAGGAUGGUUCCUCCAUAUCAGGAAUUGAAACACAGACCCAGAUGUACUCAGAAUGCACCAGAUAACACAACUUGACUUUUCUCCAUGGAUGAGAACACAGGAGGUAAGUGGAUAGUAUUAGACAGUGGUUUUCAACCUUCCUAAUGCUAACACUUUUUAACACAGUUCCUCAUGUUGUGGCAACCCCCAGACACAAAUUAUUUUCAUUGCUACUUCAAUACUGUAAUUUUGUUAACUGUUUUGAAUGGUAAUGUAAUUAUUUUUGGAGAUAGAGGUUUGCCAAAGGAGCCGUAACUAUGGUGACCCACAGGUUGAGAAGCACUGGUAUGGAAGUUGACAGUGGUACCUUUGAGUGUCUAUAGAGAUGGAUGAACAGAGAGGAGAGCAUACUGCUCCUACAGGGGGCCAGAGUUGGGUUCCCAGCACCCACAUCAAGCGACUCACUAUUUCCUCUAACUCCAACUCUGGAGGAGCCAAUGAUCUGGUCUCCAUGGAAACCCGCACACAUGUACACAUACCAACACACCAACAAACACACGUGCCCAUAAUUAAAGAUGACAAUAAAAAUAAAUAUUAAAACGAAUGCAGUUGGCACAUUUUCACCCACCUGCUUUGACAAAAUAAUGAUCAGUUAAAGAAUGAAAAUGGUCCAUCUACCCGACCCACUGAUUAUGUGGUUUUCGUCUUUACCUCCAAAGCACCUCCUAUGGUGAUGAAACCCUUCCAUUGUCCUGUUUUUCAUAUAAUUCACCCAAAGGGAAGACAUAGCCUAUGGAGUAAGAUGAAGGUGGUCAGGUAGGUGCUCCAUCCUUAAAGCAUUAGCUCCUACAAUUAAAGGCGGUCUGUGGGGAGAGAGACAGGGCACAAGGAAGGCUCAUAGCAACAGAAAUGAUUGGUAGGAAUGGAUAGUGAUAUCGGGCAAUCAGAGACAUGCGCAAUAAGGCAUUUUCCCAGAUACAUCAAUUCUGGUUUGCUAGUGGCAUAGGAAUGGGAUGGAGUAGGGGAAAGAACUGAAUGGUAGCACAAGUCAUCUUGGCUUACACCAGAAUCUCUGUGUCUAGUAGAAGGAGUACAGAACACAAUAUUAAUUUGUACCGUGGGUGAGGAAGGAGGAGUUUACUAUAAAUCUGUACUUGUUGCUCUUACAGAGGUUCCAGUUUCACGUCAAGCAUCCACAUGAUCUAUAGUCAUCCAUAACUGAAAAUUCAGGGAAUCUGGCACCAUCUUCUGAUCCUCAUGGGUACCAAGCAUGCGUGGACAAGGUACGCAUAUGUACAGGCAAAACACUCCCAUGUGAAAUUAAUAAAUCCAACUUAAAAUAAAUAAAAAAUAUUUUCCUUAUAUUUAAGAAUGUCCACAUAUUCAUAAAGUUUGAUUAAAUAAAAGUUUAUCCACUCU
rnacentral:lncRNA from 1 species